rnacentral:lncRNA from 1 species
CCUUCAUCUAUUAUGUAUAUAUUAGCCAAACUAGUUUUCUCUUUCGUCUUCUCCUACCAGUUUAUAUAAGGAGUGUUGGUGUUGGUUACACCUAUAGUUCAGUCUUUAAACUACAGGAUAUCAGAUAGGAUUGUGAUUGAGCUGAAAAAAAAAAAAAAGAAUAUCCAGAGAUGGGUACAGUGAUGUUUGGGUUUUCAUGCCUUGCCUUUUGAGGAAGAGGGUAGAGUAACUAAGGACAGCUAUGAAAUCUGCAAAGGAAACUAGAAGAGACCAGCAGGACAAAGAGGCAGCAUGAGGAGCCACUGUGAGCUAGUAUGCGUGCUUGCAUUUCAGUAACGUAAUGGAGGCUGGAAGUCAAGACCAGGGUUCCCGAAUGAUCAGGUAGAAUGCCAGCAGAUGUGAAAUGAACAGUGCUACAGCCUUCCAGCAGUCCUAGCACAAGGAAUAGAUAAGCCACUGAGUAUCAGGGUUGUUUGUUAUGCAGCAUUGUUGCAGCAACAGCUGAUGAAUACACUUGACCUAAGGUUUGUAGGAAAAUGACCAAGAGGUCUUUAAAUGUGCUUGCAUGGUUUGUCUUUGUCUUUUGUAUUCCUCUCAUCUCCCAUGAGAUGUCCUAUAGCCACUCAUCCCAGGAGAAUGCAGACACAAGUGGAGCAGAUCUGAAUCCAACUUGCAGCCUGGAAAAGUCCACCCAAUCUCAACUCAGCCCGGCAGAGAUGCAAACUACCAGCAGAACUGUACACAGGAAAUUAAUGUUUGUUUCAAGCUGAUGAGUGUUGGAACUGCCUAGCAUUCACCCUUAUUUCAACCAUAGCUGGAAAACCAAGUAGGAUAUGAAAUCCCCCCUUCCUCACUACCACAGGCAAUAAAGUGGAGGAGGAGGCCUUUUGCAGAAAAGCACAUCUUAGAAGAAAGCAAACCUCCUUACAGUUACGAUGUUUCAUUGCCCUUCCCUAAAGAGGAAGGACGCAAGUUAACAGUAGCACCCCGUUGCCUGGUCCUUGUCCAGAAGGGAAGAAUGGUAGUGCAGAGCACAGGAACACUUCGCUUAUCGUUUAGUUACUUGUAAUUCCCUUAUAAAGCUUUUCAAGGCUUACAAAAAGAAACCACAAGAACACAAUGUGCUUUCGGAUAGCUUAAACUGAAAAAGUUCUGCUUUGUGUACCAAUGCAAGU